rfam:TPA: Bos taurus chromosome 3, whole genome shotgun sequence.
GGAUGUGAGGGUGAUCUGGUUGCGACAUCUGUCACCCCAUUGGUCACCAGGGUUGAUUCAGCUUAUCUGGCUGGCUAGGCAGGUGUCCCCUUCCUCCCUCACUGCUCCAUGUGCAUUCCUCCCAAAGCUGCGUGCUCGGUGGAAUAGUAUGACCAUCCCUGAGAGAGGAGGACUGGUCUUUGGUCAAGGAUAUAUGAGUAGCUGCGCUCCCCUGCUAGAACCUCCAAACAAGCUCUCAAGAAUAAGGCAUGUUAAAAUGAAUAUGACAUAGAUCUGUCAUAAGGAAGCUCAUAGUCCAGUUGUAAAUAAUUAUAACAAUAAUG